GGGUGUUUGAAACAGACUGGAUGUUCUCUCUCAAAGAGGCGGGGUUUAAAGCACAGAUAUCUGAUGUGAUCUUCUUAAACUUCAAGUCUCUUAGAGAGAGAAUAAGAAACACACACAAUGUUGCUCCAUUCACUCAUUUUUCUUUCUACCUUUGCAUAUAGAACAUAUGGAAAUGAAAUAAAACCAACUCAAACAGAGGAGUCUGCUGAUGAGGGUUCAAGUGUUAAAUUAUCCUGCAGUUAUUCAUCAGCAUUAACUCUUCACUGGUAUCGUCAGUAUCCAGGAUCAGCUCCUCAGUUCAUCGUACUCAUCUCAGAUGGAAUAAAACAAGCUCAGGAGUCUAAUGUAGAUCCCAGAUUCUCUGCCAAAGUCACCAAAGACAAAGAAAAGCAUGUGUAUCUGGAGAUCUCCUCUGCUGCUGUAUCAGACUCUGCUCUGUAUUACUGUGCUCUGGAGCCCACAGUCACAGGAAACACAAGAACACUGUACACAAACCUGAUGUACUGUGUUUCAUCUACAUUACACUUAACCAACCUCCCUGUAAUCUGCUAGUUACAACAAGGAACAUUCUUCUGUAAAAUCAGCAAAAACAGUAUUACAUACAUGGAUUGUUUUUCAUAGCAUAAAAAAGCAUAACAGAAAAGAAGACAUAUAAAGAUUC